GGGAUCAGUGAAAACCAAACCGCGUGAUCACCCACGACAGCGGUCCAGAGUCGCUGAGAUAACCGGAACUGCAGAUGCCGGAGAAUCCAAGAUAACACGAUGUGCAGCUGGAUGUACACAGCAGGCCAAGCAGCAUCAGAGGGUCUAGAUCCUUCGCUGAGACCAAGAUUUGUGCAAUUGAGAUACCAGCGAUCGUUGCCAAAGCCCUGUUACCUGUGGGGAAGGUGAUGUUUAACUUUCGUGUGCUGCUGCAGUUUGUAUGAUAAAGGUGCUCAAAUGGAGCAUUGUGAGAGAAGUUACAGAUCAUUCAUCUAGCGAUACCGAAGAGCUAAUGGUGAUAUUACAAGUGGACUUUCAGGUAGGAAGCUCAAUAAUUGUAACACCAAACUCUGACAGAAUUACUCAAUUCAAUCAGGACCUGGAUAUUCGCAUUGUGUAUUUCCACAAUUUUACUUCUGCACUAUUCUUAGUCUUUCAGAGGGAUCGAAAGGUUGAGUUACAGAUCUAUACGAUGACUGUCCUUCCUCGCUGGCUCCCCCACCUCUCUCUUUUGGUAGUUUUAUGCAAACACUGACUGGAUCCCUUACCUGGAGGAUAUUUAUGAAUGAAUUUGUUCUAAUGGUGAUCCAGCAUAUUCCCCAAGUAUCACUCCACACAUGCCCAGAGAAUUUCUCAGUUUCACAAUCUGUGUCCUUCUGGUUUCUCACUCGCUACACUUAACUUUCUGUUUGAAAGUAUCGUCUGCAGUUGGAGAAUUUAAACAGGUCCACAUCCAGGUCUGACGAUCACUUUGUUUAUCACAACCCAAUUAUCUCAGGAUUUUGAACAUUGAAGGAAAAAGCAGUACUCACAUUGGGGAGAAAUGCACAUGGUGUGUGUGUUGAAGAGUCUGUGAAGAUUCACCUGAAAUGUCCGAACACCAGUGCAGUGACACUGGGAGACAGAGUGUGGAAAUGUGCAGAUUGCAGGAAGAAAUUUCUUCAUCCAUCCCCGCUAGAAACUGACCACCAGAGUCACACUGGAGAGAGACCAUUGACCUGUUCUGCAUGAGGGAAAGGCUUUGCUGAUUUGAAUUCCCCGCUGAUACACCAGCGAGUUCACUCUGGGGAGAGACCUUUCAUGAGCUCUGAGUGUGGGAAGGGAUUCAUCGUCAUCCAAACUGUUAACACACCAGCGAGUUCACAGACAACCACAGUUGAAGAACUUUGCUGUCACUCUCACUAUCAAAUGAACCAUGGUUCUGGGCUGUUUGUACAGAUGUUACCGAUCCCUGCUCAAUUAAAGGUGCUGGUAUUGUGAAUAAAAUGUCACACUAACA